rnacentral:rRNA from 1 species
UGGGGAAUAUUGCACAAUGGGCGCAAGCCUGAUGCAGCAACGCCGCGUGAGGGACGACGGCCUUCGGGUUGUAAACCUCUUUUAGUAGGGAAGAAGCGAAAGUGACGGUACCUGCAGAAAAAGCACCGGCUAACUACGUGCCAGCAGCCGCGGUAAUACGUAGGGUGCGAGCGUUGUCCGGAAUUAUUGGGCGUAAAGAGCUCGUAGGCGGUCUGUCGCGUCUGCUGUGAAAACCCGAGGCUCAACCUCGGGCCUGCAGUGGGUACGGGCAGACUAGAGUGCGGUAGGGGAGAAUGGAAUUCCUGGUGUAGCGGUGGAAUGCGCAGAUAUCAGGAGGAACACCGAUGGCGAAGGCAGUUCUCUGGGCCGUAACUGACGCUGAGGAGCGAAAGCGUGGGGAGCGAACAGGAUUAGAUACCCUGGUAGUCCACGCCGUAAACGUUGGGCGCUAGAUGUGGGGACCAUUCCACGGUUUCCGUGUCGCAGCUAACGCAUUAAGCGCCCGCCUGGGGAGUACGGCCGCAAGGC